rnacentral:lncRNA from 1 species
CUUUUCCAGGAACUGGAUAGCCAGCAAGAUGUGAAGCAGGAGAUGAAGAAACUAAGACUCAGAGAAGACAAAUGACAUGCCCAAAGACACAUUGAUAAGAACGCAUCUGGUAGUGGUGUUCGAGUCCAGCGUUGCAGCAGAGAGAUGGGUAACUGUAUGGCCGAACAGCUGUCUUCUCGUGGAAGAAGGAGGCCAAUGUCCAGGAGUGGCAGGCAUACUGGAACUUGGACUUCUGUAGGCCAACCUGGGUUCCACUUGGUAGAUGGGGGUCUUGCUGUGUUGCCCAGGCUGGUCUCAAACUCCUGGCCUGAAGCAGUCCUCCUCCCUUAGCCUCCAGAGUAGCUGGGACUACAGGUACACACCACUGCAACCCCUCAGUGGUUGUUAUUUAACUGAAGGGGGUUUUAGCUUUCAUGUAUCAGCUCACUCUGGAGCCAGACAGCCUGGCCUUCAUGGCAGCUCUGCCCCUUACUACCUGUGUGACAUCGGGCAACGUUACUGAGUGUCAGAUUUCUUAUUUGUAAAACAGGGAUAAAAAUGACAUUGCUGUGCAAAUUAAAAGAAAGAAUCCAUGUGAGAUAUUUAGCACACU